GAAGCCAACCGUCCUCGGUUUCCUGGCCUGUGGCAUCAGUCUGGUUGGAUUACACACAAAGCCCUGCAGAUCUGCUGCUUUUCCUGAUUCUCCUGUCCUGAGUGAGUGCAAGGGGCUCCCCUGUCGCCGAUGUGUUCUUUGAAGCAGAUGCUGUGCCUGAUACCUGCUGGAGAGUCCCACCGCCUUGAGCUUCUGGGUCGAGAAAGGCCAAGUUGCACACUACUGAGAGACUGCCAUGCACCCCCUGGAGGCCUCAGAACAUUCGACAUGCUCCAGUCAUGGCCACGGCAGUGACUGCUGAUUGCCUAACCCCACAUGUGUUCUCCCCCUUCCCUGAUAAUCAAGCCCCUGAUUUUCAGCUGGGCACAAAAUAAUUCUUCCUAGAACAACUCCACGUGUGUUAUCGCCCUUGCAGCUGGGGGUGGCCACCACUGGGGAGAGGCAGGGUGAAGAGGUCGAAGGAGCCUGAGUUAGCAGGGAUGAGCAGUGGCCAGGUAACCCCAGACCCAUUAUCCUCUGGAUUUCUUUUAUGUGAAACAAUAAAAUGUCUUGUAUUCGA
rnacentral:lncRNA from 1 species